CUCCUGACUGACCGAUAGUGAACCAGUACCGUGAGGGAAAGGCGAAAAGAACCCCGGCGAGGGGAGUGAAAAAGAACCUGAAACCGUGUACGUACAAGCAGUGGGAGCACAGGUUUACCUGUGUGACUGCGUACCUUUUGUAUAAUGGGUCAGCGACUUAUAUUCUGUAGCAAGGUUAACCGUAUAGGGGAGCCGGAGGGAAACCGAGUCUUAACCGGGCGUUAAGUUGCAGGGUAUAGACCCGAAACCCGGUGAUCUAGCCAUGGGCAGGUUGAAGGUUGGGUAACACUAACUGGAGGACCGAACCGACUAAUGUUGAAAAAUUAGCGGAUGACCUGUGGCUGGGGGUGAAAGGCCAAUCAAACCGGGAGAUAGCUGGUUCUCCCCGAAAGCUAUUUAGGUAGCG
rnacentral:rRNA from 1 species